rnacentral:sRNA from 1 species
ACAUUUAAUUUACUCCCCCACAACUAAUGUGAUGUUGGUUCAAUGGUAAAUCUCUCAAGUGGAAGUACUCGGUUCGAGCAAAGUUAGAAGGGAUCUCUUCUCUAAACCAGAUGAAUUUAAUCUGGUCGUGGGUCAUACCUUUAGAAGAUGUAGGGCAUUUGGCCUUGAACUUCCAGAUAUUAAAAAAAA